UACGGAGGGUGCAAGCGUUGUUCGGAAUUAUUGGGCGUAAAGGGCAUGUAGGUGGUCUUGUAAGUCUACUGUGAAAUCCCCGAGCUUAACUUGGGAAGUGCGGUGGAUACUGCAAGACUAGAGUGCUGGAGGGGUUCGUGGAAUUCCUGGUGUAGCGGUGAAAUGCGCAGAUAUCAGGAGGAACACCAAUUGCGAAGGCAGCUCGCUGGGACGUUACUGACGCUGAGACGCGAAAGCGUGGGGAGCAAACAGG
rnacentral:rRNA from 1 species